AUGCCGUCGCCGCCGCCCGAGUUAACCGCCGCCGUAGCCGGCGGCCGGAAUCUUGUCGCUGGUUGGGGCCGCGCCCAUGGAGGCUUGGGGCGGCGUAUGAAACUCGCCGGCGACGAGGUCGAGGAGCUCCUCUUCUCUCUAUUUGGUGUUGGCUCGAGCCCGAUUUGGACCGACAGGGGCGAGGCUGAUUUGGAUCUCGGCGACGACCAGGACAAAUACAUGUUGUCUGAUCCAAAUAAGAUGACCAAUGUUAAUGAAGAUGGUUCCGAUAGCAAUCCAAACUUUGUUGGAUACUCUGAGAACACCAGGAAUGAUAUAUUGCCAACACUUAAGAGGAAAACAGGAGGUUCUGGUUCUAUUGCUGCUCUUAAGGAACUACAGAUCAUGGUGAAGCGAGCAACCAAAUCAUCCUCACUUCUUGAUCUGUGCUCCAUGCUGCUCUUCCUUCGAUUGCGGCUCACCUUCUUUUGCUGCUCAGGUGAAAGGAGGCGCUGGGUGGGAGUGAACGGGAGGCCAUGCGGUACAGAUGUAGAAGAGACGGAGUCGGGCAACUACGGUUGGGGCGGCUGUGUGAGGAAGAUAGAGGGAGUCCUCGGCGUCCCUGAGGAGGCUGGUGCGUGGUCGCCGCUGCUGCGCGCCCUGGCCUUGGAGUGCACGUCCACCACGGAUCUGGAGGUGCUGAGGGCAGUGCAGUGCGACGGGCGUGCGCGCCCUGGUACGGAGGUGAGCGUCGCCAAGAGGGCGCCGCGCGGUGUGGUGGCCGUCGCUCGUCGGCCAACGUGGGCGGUCCUGACGUCGGAGUCUGCGGGCGAUAGCGGGAGGCAGAGCUUCUGUGGCUUGUGGGCUCUGCUAAGGGCUGGUGAAGCUGGCCAGUUCAGUGGCCUGGCGGCUGAGGGCUGCAGAUCGGCGGCCAUGGCGGCCUCUCUUCGCACGGUGACCGCGUCCAUGGCUCUCCGUCCGUCGAUCGCGGGGCCCUCCCUGCACGGCGACGGCGUCCCCAUCCUCUGCGUCAUCCGUGCACUACUCGCCAGUCCCUCCCCGUCGUCAGGCGAGUGCAACACCAACCGCGCCGCCGCUUCCUCGUCUCCUGGCGAUUGCGCCCCCAUCCUGAGCGCCAUCCGCUCCCUCUUCAGCUCUUCUUCGUCGUCAAGGGAGGGCAACUCCAUCCGCGAUGGCUCCCCCAUCAUGAGCGUCAUCCGCGCCCUUAUUGGUGCCUCUUCAUUGUCUGAGCUCGGGUCCUUCUCAAUCUACCAAGGGAGUGCAUAUGCAUCAAGGGAACUUGUACCAGUCUAUCAGGGGAGUGCUUACGGCUUCCGAGAGCUUGUACCUGCUUCAUACCGUAGAUUUCACCCUUGCAAGGUUCUUCCUGUGUCUCUGACAUCAAACAGGAAUUCUUCCCUCAUGCUUGUAAACAUUCUACUCGGUGCUUGGUUUGGAGGAUAUCUCUUGGCUUCAACCGAUGGUCAACCUGGUUCUUUCAUCUUGGAAAAUCUCAAGGAAAAGCUUAAACUCAUCGAAGCAGAGAUUAGGGAUCUUGAAAGAAUGAUCGAAGAAUUUGGUGAUGCAUCUGAUUUCAUGAAGUUGAUGAAACAAAAGCUUGAGCGCUUGAAGGUCUUGAAGGAAGAUCUUUUGAAGCUGCUUGAGGAUUUUCAAGCAGUGGAUGAUGUUCUGAGGAAGAUGCUGGAUGAAUUGUCUGCAGACAAGGACUUGACCAAGGAGGAUUUGGCUGUUAUAUGCAAAAAACUUAUGGAAUUGGAGGCCCCUCCAGAGAAAGAACUUCUGGAAGAAAAUCUUGACACCAUUGUGGCACUGAUCUACCUCAGUACGUACCUGAAGAGCCUCUCUGGUGGGAGAAGAACUGAGCAAUGCCUUUGGUGGGGUGGUCUCUGUGUAGCGAGUAGCAUGAAGAGCUUUUGGAAGGUACCGUGGAACGAUGAGGUAGAUUUGUCCUGUGGUAGUCAAUGA
rnacentral:rRNA from 1 species